rnacentral:piRNA from 1 species
UAACACUUCAAAGGUAUCGAG